ACCCUUCUAGUAUUAGUCUCAUACAAAUGACUUCCAAUCAUUUAAUCUUGGUUUAAGUCCAAGGAAGGGUA
rnacentral:tRNA from 1 species